CGGGUGUAAACCGCUUUCAGCAGGGAAGAAGCGCAAGUGACGGUACCUGCAGAAGAAGCGCCGGGCUAACUACGUGCAAGCAGCCGCGGUAAUACGUAGGGCGCGAGCGUUAUCCGGAAUUAUUGGGCGUAAAGAGCUCGUAGGCGGUUUGUCACGUCUGCUGUGAAAGCCCGGGGCUCAACCCCGGGUGUGCAGUGGGUACGGGCAGACUAGAGUGCAGUAGGGGAGACUGGAAUUCCUGGUGUAGCGGUGAAAUGCGCAGAUAUCAGGAGGAACACCGAUGGCGAAGGCAGGUCUCUGGGCUGUUACUGACGCUGAGGAGCGAAAGCAUGGGGAGCGAACAGGAUUAGAUACCCUGGUAGUCCAUGCCGUAAACGUUGGGCACUAGGUGUGGGGAACAUUCCACGUUUUCCGCGCCGUAGCUAACGCAUUAAGUGCCCCGCCUGGGGAGUACGGCCGCAAGGCUAAAACUCAAAGGAAUUGACGGGGGCCCGCACAAGCGGCGGAGCAUGCGGAUUAAUUCGAUGCAACGCGAAGAACCUUACCAAGGCUUGACAUGGACCGGACCGCUGCAGAGAUGCAGCUUCCCUUCGGGGUCGGUUCACAGGUGGUGCAUGGUUGUCGUCAGCUCGUGUCGUGAGAUGUUGGGUUAAGUCCCGCAACGAGCGCAACCCCUAUCCUAUGUUGCCAGCACGUCAUGGUGGGGACUCAUGGGAGACUGCCGGGGUCAACUCGGAGGAAGGUGGGGACGACGUCAAAUCAUCAUGCCCCUUAUGUCUUGGGCUUCACGCAUGCUACAAUGGCCGGUACAAUGGGUUGCGAUACUGUGAGGUGGAGCUAAUCCCUAAAAGCCGGUCUCAGUUCGGAUCGAAGUCUGCAACUCGACUUCGUGAAGUUGGAGUCGCUAGUAAUCGCAGAUCAGCAACGCUGCGGUGAAUACGUUCCCGGGCCUUGUACACACCGCCCGUCAAGUCACGAAAGUGGGUAACACCCGAAGCCGGUGGCCUAACCCUUGUGGGGGA
rnacentral:rRNA from 1 species